rnacentral:rRNA from 1 species
UAGGGAAUCUUCGGUAAUGGACGAAAGUCUGACCGAGCAACGCCGCGUGAGUGAAGAAGGUUUUCGGAUCGUAAAACUCUGUUGUUAGAGAAGAACAAGGACGUUAGUAACUGAACGUCCCCUGACGGUAUCUAACCAGAAAGCCACGGCUAACUACGUGCCAGCAGCCGCGGUAAUACGUAGGUGGCAAGCGUUGUCCGGAUUUAUUGGGCGUAAAGCGAGCGCAGGCGGUUUCUUAAGUCUGAUGUGAAAGCCCCCGGCUCAACCGGGGAGGGUCAUUGGAAACUGGGGGACUUGAGUGCAGAAGAGGAGAGUGGAAUUCCAUGUGUAGCGGUGAAAUGCGUAGAUAUAUGGAGGAACACCAGUGGCGAAGGCGGCUCUCUGGUCUGUAACUGACGCUGAGGCUCGAAAGCGUGGGGAGCAAACAGG